CAAUAUAUUUGCAAACGCUAUCCAAAACUUGACAAAGAAAAGCCGAAUGCUUUAGUUUCCGGACUUGGUACAACAAUCCCAAAGAUUGUCUUAAAUGGAUUGUAUAUGUACCUAAGUAGUCUCAUCCUCACAAUCUUCCAAUUGAUAAUGUAUCAUUGGAAGAAAAUGUUAGAUAAGUCUAUCAUAAGGAGGACAACACUUUUAAUGUCAUAAUUCUUCACUUACAAAUCGUUGUAUGAAGAAAUAAGAGUUGCUUUGAACAACCCUUAGUCAAUGCAAACACUAGUGCUUGUUUCUUUGUUAAAUGAACAAAGAACUUGAGAAGAAAGCACAAUGGCAUGGACACUUUAUGUGCCAUGAUUCUUCACUUACAAAUUGUUGUAUGAAGAAAUGAAAGUUUGUAAUUAUGUUUAGAACAUAAUGGUUGGGUGACAAAAAUAGUCCAUCAACAUGGACUUAUGAUGAUUUUGAAUCAUUGAAUGUUGAAGUGAUAAACCACUUAACGAGACGGAAACUAGGCAAGGACUUCACCUUUGUGUCCCUAUCCUAAUGGUU
rnacentral:lncRNA from 1 species